rnacentral:rRNA from 1 species
CAAUAGCGUAUACUAAUGUUGUUGCAGUUAGAAAGCUCGUAGUUGAACUUCUGGUAGGAGUGUCCCGGCCUUUUUGUUUUUACAAAUUGUAUGCUGUGUGACAUCUCUGGCCAUCCUUCUUCUUUGUUUAAAGAAGAUCUUUCACUGUAAAAAAAUUAGGGUGUUCAAAGCAAAAGUUUCUUUGGAAUAUAUUAGUAUGGGAUGAUAAGAUAGGCUCUAGAUGCUAUUUUGUUGGUUUGCACAUUUAGAGAAUGAUUAACAGGGACAGUUGGGGGUAUUCGUAUUUACAUGUCAGAGGUGAAAUUCUUGGAUUUUGGAAAGACGAACUACUGCGAAAGCAUUUACCAAGGAUGUUUUCAUUAA